UGCUCUAAAUCUCCCACUCUUCUUCUUCCUCUUUUUAUUUCUCUCUCUCUCUCUCUCUCACAGAAUGCCAAGCGGAAGGGAUGACAGAGCCCCAAAGGACAAGCCGCCACCCUUGACUAUCAAACCACCUCCCGUCGAACAACAACCUCCACCGCCUCGACCGCCUUCAGGGUGAUGAACUCCCUCUACGACGAAGACCACGCCUUCUUCGACUCCGCCACGUACCACCUCCUGCUCCAUUAAGUCUUCCGAUCUCUCCACCACAGAAACGGAAAACGACACAGACACCGCCGCCGCCGCCGCCGUCUUCGCCUCCCAUCUCUUCUUCUUCUCCACGCGCCCUUCAAGCACAACAGCGUGGCGGUGUUAAAUAAUGAGUUGUUCUUUAGUUAAUCAGUACUUGGUUAAUUAGAGCCUUAAUGUUGUCCUAAUUAGUUUCCUUAGCUAAUGCUCUGUCAGGAGAUGGUGGAGGCGCGUGAGCACCAGACGGAGGACGAGAGCGUGAAGGUCAAAUCUAACUGGGAGUUCCUGCAUGAGCUGCUCCUGUGUUAUCUCGCGCUCAACCCUAAGAGCACUCACAAGUUCAUCAUCGGCGCAUUUUCCGAUCUCCUCGUCAGUCUCCUCCCCUCACCCAAAGAUCCCGAGUUCACCGCCGGCGUCUGCGAGAUUUCCCGGUGCAGUUAA